UACGAAGGGUGCAAGCGUUACUCGGAAUUACUGGGCGUAAAGCGUGCGUAGGUGGUUCGUUAAGUCUGAUGUGAAAGCCCUGGGCUCAACCUGGGAAUGGCAUUGGAUACUGGCGACCUAGAGUGCGGUAGAGGGGUGUGGAAUUCCCGGUGUAGCAGUGAAAUGCGUAGAUAUCGGGAGGAACAUCUGUGGCGAAGGCGGCUCACUGGACCGGUACUGACGCUGAAGCGCGAAAGCGUGGGGAGCAAACGGG
rnacentral:rRNA from 1 species